GCCUACGGGGGGCAGCAGUGGGGAAUAUUGGGCAAUGGGCGCAAGCCUGACCCAGCAACGCCGCGUGAAGGAAGAAGGCUUUCGGGUUGUAAACUUCUUUUAUUGAGGACGAAACAAAUGACGGUACUCAAUGAAUAAGCCACGGCUAACUACGUGCCAGCAGCCGCGGUAAUACGUAGGGGGCAAGCGUUAUCCGGAUUUACUGGGUGUAAAGGGAGCGUAGGCGGUGCAGCAAGUCAGAAGUGAAAGCCCGGGGCUCAACUCCGGGACUGCUUUUGAAACUGUUGAACUAGAUUGCAGGAGAG
rnacentral:rRNA from 1 species